GACAGAGGAUGCAAGCGUUAUCCGGAAUACUGGCGUAAAGCGUGACGCAGGCGGUUAUAUAAGACAGUUGUGAAAUUCCCGGGCUUAACCUGGGGGCUGACAUUUGGAUACGUGUUGUCUAGAGUGAGGAAGAGGGUUGUGGAAUUCCCAGUGUAGAGGUGAAAUUCGUAGAUAUUGGGAAGAACACCGGUGGCGAAGGCGGCAACCUGGUCCUUGACUGACGCUGAGGCGCGAAAGCGUGGGGAGCAAACAGG
rnacentral:rRNA from 1 species